rnacentral:rRNA from 1 species
UCUUGACCUCGGAUUAGGUAGGGAUACCCGCUGAACUUAAGCAUAUCA